rnacentral:rRNA from 1 species
GCCUACGACCAUAUCACCCUGAAUGCGCCCGAUCUCGUCUGAUCUCGGAAGCUAAGCAUGGUCGAGCCUGAUUAGUACUUGGAUGGGAGACUGCCUGGGAAUACCAGGUGUUGUAAGCU